CCUUUCAAUUCCCCUGUAUGGUUUUUUCGGUUUUAAUUAUUGAUACUUUUUUCCUAAGUAAAACUGCUUUCUAGUUCAUACAGCUAGAUUGGCAUCUAUUGUUUAAACUUAGGGCAUAUAUGAAGUAGCAAGAAUUUGGAUAUAUGCCUAGAAUGGGGACAGAUCCACCAUUGUUGAAAAUAUGAAAAUUAGUGUAGUCCUAUUGCAGCAUUCUGGGAUUCCCAAUACAGUUUUUGUUGCACCAACUACUCCAUCCAUAGCUGUAUCUUUUUGAAUUGUCUGUGAGGCCUCAUACACCACUAACUACUAUAUCAUGGAUGAUUAAUCUCUUGUUACCUUUGUAGCUGUACAAUUCAUUUCGCUUUUAGUUUAUUGUCAACCACUCUAUUCUAGGUUAGUCUGUCCCCUCAUUUUGUCAGCCAGUUUCAAUGGUAGGAUGAUCAUUCUAAUGUAUUCUGUGAACAGAGUUAUGCAAAAACACGGCUGGAUGGCUAGAUAAGGUAGGUUAUCUAGAAUGUUCUGUUGCUGGAGUUCUCAUUUUUGUUGUGAUUUAUGUUUGUGCCUAGAUGGUAUGUGUUUAUUGCAGGAAUUUCCUGACUAUAUGUAACGACCUGGUUCAAUAUUUCUAGAGAUGGAACAUGGAUAAUACUAUGGGGCCUAAAUUAGUAUUAACAGGCCAAUAUUUGGGAAGCCCGAUUUAGGGUUAUUAUGGGGUUUUUAUUUGGGCUCAAUAAUUAGGUUAAAGCUCAUUUGAUAUUUAUGGGCCAAAUGGGCCCUAUUUAAUUGAUAUUGGGCCGAAGAAAUUAUUGAAAGCCCAAAACUAUUUAUUGGGCGAGUUGGGCUCAUUUUGGAAUUGGCUCUUUAGGGUUGUUAAGUGACUUAGCCCAUGAAAUUAUAGGCAAGCCCUAGAAAUUAGUUGGACCCUUAAAAUGGGCCAACCCAUUUGUUAGAGCCUAAUAAGAACCCAAGAAAAAUCCUAGGACCCAUGGGUCAAGCCCAUGAAAUGGACCAGACCCAAGCCAUGAGACCCAUGCAUGUAGAAUCUUCCUUCUCCCUCGUACAACCAGGGUUGCAGUAUGUAUACAUAUAUUCUCAAGCUCACUCUCUUUCAAGCCGCUACCUUACAUGGUGCAAAACCUCUGCAUAGUCAUUCCUCCUCAACCCACCAACUUCCCCAUGUGCAUGGCCAGUAGCCAUACCAACUGGAGCACACAAAUACUCGAUGCAACCUCCCACGGACAUUGUCCCCUCCAUACACAAAAACACCACACAACAAUACCUCCCCCACACCCAGGCCACCACGAGCCACCCACUGCCGGCAGCAACCACCUCUCUUCAACAUCUAUCACAUGGAACAACAGCGUUGAAGGAAAUCCCGCACCGAGCAAGCCUUCCACAUUCAAGCUUCCACCACCACAAAACCGUAAGCCUUGCACCGAGAUACCUUAAGCCACAACAUCCUAUUAUGUCAAACCAGAUCAACCAACUGCCCAACCCAUAUCACCCGCAACACUUCACCUCAUAAACUGCCCAGCUCCACAUUCGAUUGACCCACACACCAGCACAGUCACCUAACCACCAUCCAAGAGCCAUGGAAACCACCAUUCUACCCCAUAUUUUCCCUAACUAAAACAGAGCAUCCAAGCCUUCCUCUCCCACAUUGUGGUGCCACACAGACUAGCGGCCGCAAGGCCACCAUUGGGGCCAACAAGCCUUUGCACCAUAACGCCAUGUUGCACUACUCAGAUGAGCACCACCACGUAGCCAAACCAAGUUAUUUUAGCCAUCUCAACUCACCUCUGCCCUGUUGCCUUUGGCACAUUUAACCACCAGUCUAAUCACGACAGAGCAAUUCCACCUCAAUUCCACUCUCUCAGUUAAGCCCUCUCUCUCACACACUCUCUCUCUCCCUCUAACUCUCAGUAUCUCUCUCUCUCUCUCUGCCCUGGCAUAUAUAUGUUACAGGCUAUGUAAUUUUAAAUGGGUUAUAGGUUUGAGUUGUAGGUGUUAUGAGUUUAAUGGGGUAUAUAGAUUUAUGAGGGUCUGGGCCCAUGAAAGGUUAAACUAUUUUGAAGAUAAUUGACGGAACGUUGGGAAAUUGAAGUUGGAUUCAAGAACACAAGGUUUACGGUUUUAAUGUCAAUAGUUUAGAGUUAAUGUGAUUUUAAGGUUACUAUGGUUUUAGGCUUUUUGAAGAAUAGGUCAUUAGCAUAUCAAGUUUUAAUUGCAAGUAUGUGCUUAAGCAAAAAUUUACGUACAAUUGAAAAUUGAUGCAAGUUACGUACCUAUUUUAUAGGUGACUAUUGAUAUUCUCUUAUUACUAUUGUGAGGAAAUUUAGAGAUGGUAAAAAGUCAGGUAAGCGGUGCUCCUAUGCUAGACUUUGCCUAAAACUGAUUGAGGUUGAUUUUGUGAAGAACUUGCAUAUUUUGUUAUAGAAUCAGUCUAGGUUAUUUUCUGCACUAUUCUCUAUAUCUGAACUUUGAAAUUUGACAUUUUAUCAUGACUAGUAUAGACAUGAGCAAUUUUUGUACCUCAUUUCCUCUUCUGCUUAAAAUGUGAAUAUGAAAUCUGAAGUUAUCUGCUUAUAUAAUAUUUAUCUGCUCAUCACUUUGUUUUGAUAUGAUAUUGCAUGGUAUCUGAAAAACCUGAGGCAUAAGAUACUGUUUUGUUUUGGUUACGGGCCCCGCCGCGUGUUAUAAUAGUGGCCUCUGAUUUCUAACCUCUCCACAGGUGGAAAAUGGUGGCCUCUAUUCUAAGUGCAAUCACUUUGAUGAUAAAGUGAUUCAUGUUCUGCUUGGCUAUCUAUAGAAUGCACAACCCUUCCACGGGGGUAAACAUGGCCUCUAUUUUGAGUGCAUCACUUUGGUGACAAAAUAGUGAUUUAUGUUCAUCUUGGCUAACCGCAGAUAUGCACAACCCUGCCAUGGGGGUAAACAUGGUCUUUGUUUCUAUUUCUGAUACUGUUUCAGUUAUGGCUGUGCCUAAGGUCUUUUGUAUAUAUUAUUAUUGUAAUGAAAUGCUUCGGAAAAUACCACUUCCA